rnacentral:rRNA from 1 species
UACGAAGGGGGCUAGCGUUGUUCGGAAUUACUGGGCGUAAAGCGCGCGCAGGCGGCCUUUCAAGUCGGUGGUGAAAUCCCAGAGCUCAACUCUGGAAUUGCCAUCGAAACUGUAAGGCUUGGGUACGGGAGAGGUGAGUGGAAUUCCGGGUGUAGCGGUGAAAUGCGUAGAUAUCCGGAGGAACACCGGUGGCGAAGGCGGCUUCCUGGACCGACACUGACGCUGAGGCGCGAAAGCUAGGGGAGCAAACGGG